UACGUAGGGUGCGAGCGUUAAUCGGAAUUACUGGGCGUAAAGCGUGCGCAGGCGGUUCUGAAAGUCAGCUGUGAAAGCCCCGGGCUUAACCUGGGAAUGGCGGUUGAAACUACAGGACUAGAAUCUGGGCAGAGGGGGGUGGAAUUCCACGUGUAGCAGUGAAAUGCGUAGAGAUGUGGAGGAACACCGAUGGCGAAGGCAGCCCCCUGGGCUGAGAUUGACGCUCAGGCACGAAAGCGUGGGGAGCGAAACAGG
rnacentral:rRNA from 1 species